GACAGAGGGGGCGAGCGUUGUCCGGAGUCACUGGGCGUAAAGCGUCCGUAGGUGGUUUGACAAGUCUGGGGUUAAAGCCCGGAGCCCAACUCCGGAUCGGCCCUGGAAACUGUCAGACUUGAGUAAGGUAGGGGUUGCGGGAAUUCCCGGUGUAGCGGUGAAAUGCGUAGAUAUCGGGAAGAACACCAGCGGCGAAAGCGCGCAACUGGGCCAUUACUGACACUGAGGGACGAAAGCUAGGGGAGCGAAUGGG
rnacentral:rRNA from 1 species